UCUCCUGGAAACGGGUGGUAAUGCCGGAUGUUCCACAUGAUCGCAUGUGAUUGUGGGAAAGAUUUCAUCGGCGUGGGAUGGGGUCGCGUCCUAUCAGCUUGUUGGUGAGGUAACGGCUCACCAAGGCUUCGACGGGUAGCCGGCCUGAGAGGGCGACCGGCCACAUUGGGACUGAGAUACGGCCCAGACUCCUACGGGAGGCAGCAGUGGGGAAUAUUGCACAAUGGGCGCAAGCCUGAUGCAGCGACGCCGCGUGAGGGAUGGAGGCCUUCGGGUUGUAAACCUCUUUUGUUUGGGAGCAAGCCUUCGGGUGAGUGUACCUUUCGAAUAAGCGCCGGCUAACUACGUGCCAGCAGCCGCGGUAAUACGUAGGGCGCAAGCGUUAUCCGGAUUUAUUGGGCGUAAAGGGCUCGUAGGCGGCUCGUCGCGUCCGGUGUGAAAGUCCAUCGCUUAACGGUGGAUCUGCGCCGGGUACGGGCGGGCUGGAGUGCGGUAGGGGAGACUGGAAUUCCCGGUGUAACGGUGGAAUGUGUAGAUAUCGGGAAGAACACCAAC
rnacentral:rRNA from 1 species